UGACGGGUGGUGACAGCAGGCGAGUGCUGCUUUCAACGUGAGGAAAACCAUCGUUUUACUACCGGUUGCAGUGUUAGGAGAAGUCUGCAGCACAGGAGGGAGGUGAGCUGCAGACCACACGCACAAGAACCAGGAAGUGUCCGGAGAAGUUGAGGUGAAGUUCAGCAGGUGACCUCUGCAAUGAUUUGACUGGCUCCACAGGAUCAAACGUGAAAAUAUUUCCCCGCUGGUCUCAGCAGCAGUGCAGGAGUGUAAAUCCCAGUACAGUUCUAGGCAUUUCGUGCAAGAGGAGAAAGAACCAUGAGAAAAUUAAAAAAUAAUAGGUUAGAAAAGAAACCACUUCUGCUGCCCUGUGUAAACUGCUGCCUGCUGUCACGAUAAAACCAAAUGGCCUUAAUCUUUCUUAAUGGAGCUCAGCAAACUUAGAAAAGUAGAAAGUUCAUCUGGGGAAACAGAGGAGAUUUCUAUCUGCAAUCUGUGGGAUUGCUCAGCAUUUCCUUAAAAGCAC